rnacentral:rRNA from 1 species
GACGAACGCUGGCGGCGUGCUUAACACAUGCAAGUCGAACGGAAAGGCCCUGCUUUUGUGGGGUGCUCGAGUGGCGAACGGGUGAGUAACACGUGAGUAACCUGCCCUUGACUUUGGGAUAACUUCAGGAAACUGGGGCUAAUACCGGAUAGGAGCUCCUGCUGCAUGGUGGGGGUUGGAAAGUUUCGGCGGUUGGGGAUGGACUGGCGGCUUAUCAGCUUGUUGGUGAGGUAGUGGCUUACCAAGGCUUUGACGGGUAGCCGGCCUGAGAGGGUGACCGGCCACAUUGGGACUGAGAUACGGCCCAGACUCCUACGGGAGGCAGCAGUGGGGAAUAUUGCACAAUGGGCGGAAGCCUGAUGCAGCAACGCCGCGUGCGGGAUGACGGCCUUCGGGUUGUAAACCGCUUUCGCCUGUGACGAAGCGUGAGUGACGGUAAUGGGUAAAGAAGCACCGGCUAACUACGUG